rnacentral:rRNA from 1 species
AGCGUAUAUUAAAGUUGUUGCAGUUAAAGAGCUCGUAGUUGAAUUUCGGGGUCAGUAGGUUGGUCAUGCCACUGGUAUGUACUGGUCUCACUGAUUCCUCCUUCCUGAUGAACUGUAAUGCCAUUAAUUUGGUGUUGCAGGGAAUCUGGACUGUUACUUUGAAAAAAUUAGAGUGUUUAAAGCAGGCUAACGCCUGAAUACAUUAGCAUGGAAUAAUGAAAUAGGACGUUCGAUCCUAUUUUGUUGGUUUCUAGGAUUGACGUAAUGAUUAAUAGGGAUAGUUGGGGGCAUUAGUAUUCAAUUGUCAGAGGUGAAAUUCUUGGAUUUAUUGAAGACUAACUACUGCGAAAGCAUUUGCCAAGGAUGUUUUCAUUAAUCAAGAACGAAAGUUAGGGGAUCGAAGACGAUCAGAUACCGUCGUAGUCUUAACCAUAAACUAUGCCGACUAGGGAUCGGAUGAUGUUAAUUUUUUAAUGACUC